UGGGGUUAGACAGUUCUGGAAUGUGCGCAGAGGAGUGGAGUCACAUGGUGAUUAUGAGCCAUUCCUUACAUCCCUUUAAACUUUGGAGCCUAAGAAGUCAAUAGUUUGGUUAUACGUCUGAGUUUGGUUGUACGGAGUUUGGAAGACAAGAAGAGGUCUCCCUAUACAGUCCCCACUUUGAAAUUCCCGUUUGUAGUCUCCAGACCUCAAAAGUCAGUGGUCUCACAGAAGAGCCCAGGAGUCAUUGGUUUCCCGCUUUUGGCCCAAGCUCCCGGCGUAACGAAUGCUAACGCAGAACCCUCCGCCGACAGCCGCUGCGUCCCGUCCCCCGCUGGUCUAGUCGCCCGCCGCCAACCCCGGGGGCGGGCGCUGCGCCAGGGCUUCGGGACCCAGUGCCAGACCCAGAGCGCCGCCGGGCACCCGAGGGUGACAGCAGGAGAGAAGAGGUGAACACUGGAAAAACAUGACUGAUUCUGUGCAACUUGGAAAAGGAAAAGUCAUCAGCAAGUCCCAUCCUUACCACACACAAAUACAUUACAGAGAGGGCCAAGCUGGAGGUGGUGUUGUUGACAGAAACAUUGUAAGCAGAGAAGGUGAAUCAAUCCAUGGAGUAUCCCUAUCACACUGGAUGAAGGUCAAAAAUGUUAGGGCAUCUUGUCCUCUCAGCCCCCAAAGGAAGAUUUGCAACCAGGUUUACAGACUUCUUCAAGGUCACUGGGCGCUGGAUGCCACUACCAGAUGCUUUCGUGUUGGGGCCACUCAGCCCUCUCCCAGAAGCUUACCAGGGACAGAUCGUGAACACCCUGAAUCUGGAGUCUGCAAUUUGGCAUUGGUUUUGGCUCACUCAUAA
rnacentral:lncRNA from 12 species